ACGAACGCUGGCGGCGUGCCUAAUACAUGCAAGUAGAACGCUGAAGGAGGAGCUUGCUCUUCUGGAUGAGUUGCGAACGGGUGAGUAACGCGUAGGUAACCUGCCUGGUAGCGGGGGAUAACUAUUGGAAACGAUAGCUAAUACCGCAUAACAGUAGAUGUUGCAUGACAUUUACUUAAAAGGUGCAAUUGCAUCACUACCAGAUGGACCUGCGUUGUAUUAGCUAGUUGGUGGGGUAACGGCUCACCAAGGCGACGAUACAUAGCCGACCUGAGAGGGUGAUCGGCCAAACUGGGACGGAGACACGGCCCAGACUCCUACGGGAGGCAGCAGUAGGGAAUCUUCGGCAAUGGACGGAAGUCUGACCGAGCAACGCCGCGUGAGGGAAGAAGGGUUUCGGAUCGGAAAGCUCUGUUGUAAGAGAAGAACGAGUGUGAGAGUGGAAAGUUCACACUGUGACGGUAUCUUACCAGAAAGGGACGGCUAACUACGUG
rnacentral:rRNA from 1 species